GCAUAUGGCUUGCAGGUAGACAGUCAUAGGGGUGUACGAUUCAAGGGGAGAGAGGAGAUUGAGUGGUUGCAUCACUCUCACAAGGUUUCAUAUUUUUCACAGGACCCGCUCACCCUAUGGGCACCCGCGCCGGUGGGCUUGGCCCUUCCAUCUCCUCCAACCGCAGGUGCAUAUAUUUUUAAGAAGCAUAUUAACAAUGCACAAGGAGGAGCCAAGGCAAGUGUAGCCACUGUAAACACGAAGGAUUCCAGUAUUGCUUCUGCGCAACACGACGUUGUACAAAAUGGAGCCCGUGUACAUCCCCAAUUACAUGGAGGUUCUGAUACGCCCAUUGCAAGCACGCUUCCCGGACAGCUGAAGCUUCAGCCUUUCAGAAAAGCUCCCGAACUUUUCCAAAGGCUCCGACUUCUCAGAGAAGCUCUGCAACUGUUCCAAAGCUGCCAGUAGCAAUUUUCCCAGUACACAUGCCCUUGAUACAGCUCACGCUACUGUUCCCUGUACCGCUACAAGUGAGUGGCACUUUUUCUCAAUGGAAGAUGAUAGUUCAAAUGUGUCAAUGGUUCUGGAAAUACGAUUACAAGUUUACGUACAUUCAGUCUACCAACAGCAUUUCUAUGCACACAACUCAAGACACAUGGAUAUGUUCCAAUCUCAGCGACAAGCACUACUAUGAGGCCACUACCAUAUGCGAAUAUCUUCAUACAUUUACGUCUAAAAUAGUUGAUUCCCGCCGCAACACACGGGCAUAUUUUCUAUAUAGACUAAGAUUUGGUAAUAUAUGGAGGCAGAUGAGCAUGUUCGAAGGGAAAUCAUGAGCCAUAGAUCACUGAAGCAUCCGAAUAUCAUUCGAUCCAAAGAGAUGCAGAUGGAUGAACAUGUUCAAAGGGAAAUCACAAACCAUAAAUCACUGAAGAAUCCGAAUAUCAUUCGAUUCAAAGAGUUACUUUUCAGCAUCCGACAACACUGAUAUAGCAUUUGAUGUACACUUCACUUUUGAAACCCAAUCGGAAUUAUGUUCCGGUCAAUAUUGAGGAUCCAGGUAGUUCUAGGUCUCUCUUUUCUCUCUUUCCCCCUCCCUAUAUGUAGUUUAAUCUAAUUGAACAGCUCUAUUUAUUUAAGAUUUAGUUGCGUUCGUUAUUACUAAAAUUU